AGUGAAGCGGGAAAAGCUCAAAUUUAAAAUCUGGCGGUCUCUGGCCGUCCGAGUUGUACUCUAGAGAAGUAAUGCCCGUGCUGGACCGUGUAUAAGUCUCCUGGGAUGGGGCGUCAUAGAGGGUGAGAAUCCCGUCUUUGACACGGACUACCAGUGCAUUGUGGUAUGCUCUCAAAGAGUCGAGUUGUUUGGGAAUGCASCUCAAAAUGGGUGGUAAAUUCCAUCUAAAGCUAAAUAUUGGCGAGAGACCGAUAGCGAACAAGUACCGUGAGGGAAAGAUGAAAAGAACUUUGGAAAGAGAGUUAAACAGUACGUGAAAUUGCUGAAAGGGAAACGCUUGAAGUCAGUCGCGUUGGCCGGGGAUCAGCCUUGCUUUUGCAUGGUGUACUUUCUGGUUGACGGGUCAGCAUCAAUUUUGACCGCUGGAAAAAGACCUGGGGAAUGUGGCAGCUUCGGCUGUGUUAUAGCCCCUAGUCGCAUACAGUGGUUGGGAUUGAGGAACUCAGCACGCCGCAAGGCCGGGUUUCGACCACGUUCGUGCUUAGGAUGCUGGCAUAAUGGCUUUAAGCGACCCGUCUUGAAACACGGACCAAGGAGUCUAACAUGCCUGCGAGUAUUUGGGUGGAAAACCCAAGUGCGUAAUGAAAGUGAAAGUUGAGAUCCCUGUCGUGGGGAGCAUCGACGCCCGGACCAGAACUUUUGGGACGGAUCCGCGGUGGAGCAUGUAUGUUGGGACCCGAAAGAUGGUGAACUAUGCCUGAAUAGGGUGAAGCCAGAGGAAACUCUGGUGGAGGCUCGUAGCGAUUCUGACGUGCAAAUCGAUCGUCAAAU
rnacentral:rRNA from 1 species